rnacentral:rRNA from 1 species
AUUGAACGCUGGCGGCAGGCCUAAAACAUGCAAGUCGAGCGGAGCGGCGGACGGGUGAGUAAUGCCUAGGAAUCUGCAUGGUAGUGGGGGAUAACGUCCGGAAACGGGCGCUAAUACCGCAUACUAGCAGAUGAGCCUAGGGCGGAUUAGCUAGUUGGUGGGGUAAAGGCCUACCAAGUCGACGAUCCGUAACUGGUCUGAGAGGAUGAUCAGUCACACUUGAACUGAGACACGGUCCAGACUCCUACGGGAGUCAGCAGUGGGGAAUAUUGGACAAUUGUCGAAAGCCUGAUCCAGCCAUGCCGCGUGUGUGAAGCAGGUCUUCGGAUUUUAAAGCACUUUAAGUUGGGAGGCGUUACCAACAGAAUGAGCACCGGCUAACUUCGUGCCAGCAGCCGCGGUGAUAC